GAUAAGAACGUAGCGAAAUGCGAUAAGUAAUGUGAAUUGCAGAAUUCAGUGAAUCAUCGAAUCUUUGAACGCACAUUGCGCCCGUCAGUAUUCUGGCGGGCAUGCCUGUUCGAGCGUCAUUACGCCCCUCAAGUCCCCUGUGGACUUGGUGUUGGGGAUCGGCGAGGCUGGUUUUCCAGCACAGCCGUCCCUUAAAUUAAUUGGCGGUCUCGCCGUGGCCCUCCUCUGCGCAGUAGUAAAACACUCGCAACAGGAGCCCGGCGCGGUCCACUGCCGUAAAACCCCCCAACUUUUUAUAGUUGACCUCGAAUCAGGUAGGACUACCCGCUGAACUUAAGCAUAUCAAUAAGCGGAGGA
rnacentral:misc_RNA from 1 species